GGGGUUGUGACUCAGUGGUAGAGUGCUUGUCUGGCAAGCAUGAGGCACUGGGUUCAAUCGUUAGCACCA
rnacentral:tRNA from 1 species